rnacentral:tRNA from 1 species
UUCAUGGAAGCAUAGUGUCUGUGCAUAAGACCUAAAAUCUUAUUGUAAAGGUUAGAUUCCUUUUCAUGAUA